GGGGAAUAUUGCGCAAUGGGCGAAAGCCUGACGCAGCCAUACCGCGUGUGUGAAGAAGGCCUUCGGGUUGUAAAGCACUUUCAGUGGGGAGGAAAAGCUGGUGGCUAAUAUCCAUCGGCCGUGACGCUACCCACAGAAGAAGCACCGGCUAAUUCCGUGCCAGCAGCCGCGGUAAUACGGAAGGUGCGAGCGUUAAUCGGAAUUACUGGGCGUAAAGCGCACGUAGGUGGCUGUAAGUCGGAUGUGAAAGCCCCGGGCUCAACCUGGGAACUGCAUUCGAUACUGCUGAGCUAGAGUACGAAAGAGGGGGGUGGAAUUCCAGGUGUAGCGGUGAAAUGCGUAGAGAUCUGGAGGAACACCAGUGGCGAAGGCGGCCCCCUGGUUCGAUACUGACGCUGAGGGGCGAAAGCGUGGGGAGCAAAC
rnacentral:rRNA from 1 species